GCCGGGUGUGGUGGCGUGCACCUGUAAUCCCAGCUACUCGGGAGGCUGAGGCAGGAGAAUUGCUUGAACCUGGGAGUCGGAGCUUGCUGUGAGCGGAGAUUGCGCCACUGCACUCCAGCCUGGGCGACAGAGCGAGACUCUGUCUCAA
rfam:Homo sapiens chromosome X, GRCh38 reference primary assembly.